rnacentral:lncRNA from 1 species
AUAUAUAUAUUAUUUAAUUUUUAGUCCAACAUAAAUAUAAAAUCUAUCUUAAUUAUAAAAAAUUUAUUUAUAUGUAAAAUUUUUAACCAUUAAAUUAAAGUCUAAUGAAUAUAAUUUUAUAAAUUUAUCUUAUUUAUAUAUAUUCUUUUUAAUUAUUUUAGCUUAUUGUUUGUGAGCCGGUUAAUGUUCGACUUGUUAAUAAACAAGUUGAACAUGAGCUGAAUUUUUCGGCUCAAUAUUUUAGUAUGUUAGCUCGAGUUCGGCUCGUUUAUGGACGAGUCGAUUCCAACUCGCUUGUGUUCGGCUCAUUGACACCCCUAUCUUUCGCUAUGCUUUUAAUACUA